GGGAGGUGCUGCAUGGCUGUCGUCAGCUCGUGUUGUGAAAUGUUGGGUUAAGUCUCGCAACGAGCGCAACCCCUAUCGUCUGUUGCCAGCAUUAAGUUGGGCACUCUGACGAGACUGCCUGGGUUAACCAGGAGGAAGGUGGGGAUGACGUCAAGUCCUCAUGGCCCCUAUGUCUAGGGCUACACACGUAAUACAAUGGCGCGUACAGAGGGAAGCGAACUAGCAAUAGGGAGCAAAUCUCAAAAAGCGCGCCUCAGUUCGGAUUGGAGUCUGCAACUCGACUCCAUGAAGUUGGAAUCGCUAGUA
rnacentral:rRNA from 1 species